rnacentral:sRNA from 1 species
UUAGUCUUUCGAAUACAACCCUGAGGUUC